GUUCGUUAUGGCUCAGAUUGAACGCUGGCGGGAUAUUACGCAGCAGAGUCGAACGGCAGCACGGACUUCAGUCUGGUGGCGAGUGGCGAACAGGUGAGUAAUGUAUCGGAACGUGCCUAGUAGCGGGGGAUAACUACGCAGCGUAGCUAAUACCACAUACGCCCUUCGGGGAAAGCGGGGACCUUCGGGCCUCGCACUAUUGAAACGGCCGAUAUCAGUUAAGCUAGUUGGUGGGGUAACGGCUCACCUGGGCGGCGUCGUAGCUGGUUUGAAGGACGACAGCACACUGGGACCGGGAACACGGCCCGGAGCUCCUGCAGGAGGCAGCGGUGGAAAUUUUUUAAGACCAUGGGAACAAUUGUAUGCAGUGUGCGUAAAAGGCUGGUUGCAGCCUUUGCAGAAAGAAGCGGCACGGGUAUCUGGCAACUGGCAGCCUGCUGACCGCUUGGCUAACGUUGCCAUGAAGCCUGGUAUACGUAAGUGCAGCAGCAAUCAGAUUACUGGGCAAAGGGUGCAGGUGUUCGGAAAGAAAGAUGUGAAAUCGAAACGCUGGAACUGCAUUUUUAACUACCGAGCUAGAGUGUGUCAGAGGUGGAAUUCCGCGAUGUAGCAGUGGAAAUGCGUAGAUAUGCGGAGGAACGCAAAUGGCGAAGGCAGCCUCCUGGGAUAACACUGACGCUCAUGCACAGCAGUGGGAGCAAACAGGAUUAGAUACCCUGGUGAUCCACGCCCUAAGCGAUGUCAACCUUGUUGGGGCCUUCGGCCUUGGUAGCGCAAUAACGCUGGUAAAGUUGAUAUGGGAGGUACAGUCAAUUAAAAACUUUCAAAGGGAAUUGACGGGGAUUACUGGCAGUGGAUGAUGUGGAUUAAUUCGAUGCAACGCGAAAAACCUUACCUACCCUUGACAUGUCUGGAAUCCCGAAGAGAUUUAAGUGCUCCGCAAGAGAACCCGGAACAAGGUGCUGCAUGGCUGUCGUCCAGCUCGUGUCGUGAGAGAUGUUGCGUUGCAGUGCGGCAAACGCAACCCUUGUCAUUAGUUGCUGAAAGGGCACUCCUAGCGAGACUCUUGAGUGAUGACAAAACCGGAGGAAGGUGAGAUGACGUCAAGUCCUCUGGCCCUUAUGGGUAGGGCUUCCACGUCGCCUGUGGUCGGGACGGAAGAGUGCUUCAACCCGCGAGGGCCAAUCCGAAAUUCGAUCUAGUCCGGAUCGCGGUCCGCUCGACUGCGUGAAGUCGGAAUCACUUCAAUCGCGGAUCGGCAUGUCGCGGUGAAUACGUUCCCGGGUCUUCAUGCACCGCCCACGUCCUACCGCUGGGAGUGGGGUUUUACCAAGUAGUUAGCCUAACCGUCUGGGGAGGGCGAUUACCACGGUAGGUUCAUGACUGGGGUGAAGUCGUAACAAGGUAG
rnacentral:rRNA from 1 species